rnacentral:rRNA from 1 species
CCUACGGGUGGCAGCAGUGGGGAAUAUUGGACAAUGGGGGCAACCCUGAUCCAGCCAUGCCGCGUGUGUGAAGAAGGCCCUCGGGUUGUAAAGCACUUUCAGUGAGGAAGAACGCCUGGUGGUUAAUACCCAUCAGGAAAGACAUCACUCACAGAAGAAGCACCGGCUAACUCCGUGCCAGCAGCCGCGGUAAUACGGAGGGUGCGAGCGUUAAUCGGAAUUACUGGGCGUAAAGCGCGCGUAGGUGGCUUGAUAAGCCGGUUGUGAAAGCCCCGGGCUCAACCUGGGAACGGCAUCCGGAACUGUCAAGCUAGAGUGCAGGAGAGGAAGGUAGAAUUCCCGGUGUAGCGGUGAAAUGCGUAGAGAUCGGGAGGAAUACCAGUGGCGAAGGCGGCCUUCUGGACUGACACUGACACUGAGGUGCGAAAGCGUGGGUAGCAAACAGGAUUAGAUACCCUAAUAGUC